UGAAUAUAAAAAAGAAUUCCCCAUUGCCUCAUGUGUUCUUGGCUGAGCCGCCAAAUAAUGAUCUUUGGGGGCUUGAUGUGGAUUUGCCAUCUAACCAACCGAUGCACUGAUCUCUUGAUGGAUUUAUAAUACUGUAGACUCACGGGAAGACGGGACCUGGUUGGAGAGAGAAGGUCAGGAGGGGAGUGGUCUUGCGGGUAGUAAGUGCACAUCCAACAUAAGCCAGCUAAUGUGACCCUAACAACGCUGUCAACAGGCUAGGCAUCACACAGCUCUUCGGAAAGGGGUGAUGGCAGUAUCUCCUCUUUCAUCGCGAGCGUGCAAAGUCCUUGUGGCACCCAGCUUUGUAGCACGUGACUCGGUGUCUUUGGAGCGUUUUCUUGACCGGUCAUUUCGUUUUCCAGAGGAUUCCA